rnacentral:rRNA from 1 species
GUCCACGCCGUAAACGUUGGGCACUAGGUGUGGGACUCUAUCGACGGGUUCCGUGCCGUAGCUAACGCAUUAAGUGCCCCGCCUGGGGAGUACGGCCGCAAGGCUAAAACUCAAAGGAAUUGACGGGGGCCCGCACAAGCGGCGGAGCGUGUGGCUUAAUUCGAUGCAACGCGAAGAACCUUACCUGGGCUUGACAUUCACGGUAAAGCGGGUGAAAGCCCGUGUCCUUCGGGGCCGUGAACAGGUGGUGCAUGGCUGUCGU